AGUGAACGCUGGCGGUAGGCCUAACACAUGCAAGUCGAACGGCAGCACAGGAGAGCUUGCUCUCUGGGUGGCGAGUGGCGGACGGGUGAGGAAUACAUCGGAAUCUACCUUUUCGUGGGGGAUAACGUAGGGAAACUUACGCUAAUACCGCAUACGACCUACGGGUGAAAGUGGGGGACCGCAAGGCCUCACGCGAUUAGAUGAGCCGGUGUCCGAUUAGCUAGUUGGCGGGGUAAUGGCCCACCAAGGCGACGAUCGGUAGCUGGUCUGGGAGGAUGAUCACACACACUGGAACUGGGACACGGUCCAGACUCCUACGGGGGGCAGCAGUGGGGAAUAUUGGACAAUGGGCGUAAGCCUGAUCCAGCCAGACCGCGUGGGUGAAGAAGGCCUUCGGGUUGUAAAGCCCUUUUGUUGGGAAAGAAAUCCUGUCGAUUAAUGCUCGGUGGGGAUGACGGUACCCAAAGAAUAAGCACCGGCUAACUUCGUGCCAGCCGCCGCGGUAAUAC
rnacentral:rRNA from 1 species